CGAAAAUCGGAAAUGACGUCACACCGGGUAAACAUUCUUCCGGUGUAGUCAUUUUUGUAUUGCCGUAAAUGCAAAAAUGGAUCGUUUCUUCGCCACUUCCCUGGUGGGUAAUCCCAAAUUGCGAUUCGAAGAUGUGCAGAAGAUUGUGGUGACACACUCAGCAACACCACAGCCCAGGCUGACAAAGGGGUACAAGUUUUUUGUGGAGGAGUUUGUACACAAUUAUCAAGAUCACCCUGGAGGCUGACAAAGGGGUACAAGUUUUUUGUGGAGGAGUUUGUACACAAUUAUCAAGGUAAGUUGUCUAAGGUGUUUUGUUGUUGUCAGUAGGCUACUCAAUGGCCGCCUUGCUCAUUCAUGUUUUGUGAUGACAAGCAAACCAUUUACG
ensembl:lncRNA